rnacentral:rRNA from 1 species
UACAGAGGGGGCAAGCGUUGUUCGGAAUUACUGGGCGUAAAGCGCGUGUAGGCGGCUCGGUAAGUCUGCUGUGAAAGUCCAGGGCUCAACCCUGGGAUGCCGGUGGAUACUGUCGAGCUCGAGUCCGGAAGAGGCGAGUGGAAUUCCUGGUGUAGCGGUGAAAUGCGCAGAUAUCAGGAGGAACACCAAUGGCGAAGGCAGCUCGCUGGGACGUGACUGACGCUGAGACGCGAAAGCGUGGGGAGCAAACAGG